AGCUUUCCCAAUCCAUGCUAAGAUUUCGUCCGAUACCAAUCCAUUAAGGCUGACCAGACUUCCAAGAUAAGUGAAGUU
rfam:Schistosoma margrebowiei strain Zambia genome assembly, scaffold: SMRZ_scaffold0002430